GACGAACGCUGGCGGCGUGCUUAACACAUGCAAGUCGAACGGAAAGGCCCUGCUUUUGUGGGGUGCUCGAGUGGCGAACGGGUGAGUAACACGUGAGUAACCUGCCCUUGACUUUGGGAUAACUUCAGGAAACUGGGGCUAAUACCGGAUAGGAGCUCCUGCUGCAUGGUGGGGGUUGGAAAGUUUCGGCGGUUGGGGAUGGACUCGCGGCUUAUCAGCUUGUUGGUGGGGUAGUGGCUUACCAAGGCUUUGACGGGUAGCCGGCCUGAGAGGGUGACCGGCCACAUUGGGACUGAGAUACGGCCCAGACUCCUACGGGAGGGAGCAGUGGGGAAUAUUGCACAAUGGGCGGAAGCCUGAUGCAGCAACGCCGCGUGCGGGAUGACGGCAUUCGGGUUGUAAACCGCUUCCGCCUGUGACGAAGCGUGAGUGACGGUAAUGGGUAAAGAAGCACCGGCUAACUACGUG
rnacentral:rRNA from 1 species